UACGUAGGGUGCUAGCGUUGUUCGGAAUCAUUGGGCGUAAAGCGCGUGUAGGUGGUUAACUAAGUCGGGUGUGAAAUCCCUGGGCUCAACCGAGGAAGUGCAUCCGAAACUAGUUAACUAGAAGAUGGUAGAGGAAGGUGGAAUUCCAGGUGUAGAGGUGAAAUUCGUAGAUAUCUGGAGGAAUACCGGUGGCGAAGGCGGCCUUCUGGACCAUCCUUGACACUAAGACGCGAAAGCGUGGGUAGCAAACAGG
rnacentral:rRNA from 1 species